CCUACGGGGUGCUGCAGUGGGGAAUAUUGGACAAUGGGCGAAAGCCUGAUCCAGCCAUGCCGCGUGUGUGAAGAAGGCCUUCGGGUUGUAAAGCACUUUCAGUGGGGAAGAAAGCCUUGGGGCUAAUACCCUCGAGGAAGGACAUCACCCACAGAAGAAGCACCGGCUAACUCCGUGCCAGCAGCCGCGGUAAUACGGAGGGUGCGAGCGUUAAUCGGAAUUACUGGGCGUAAAGCGCGCGUAGGCGGUCUGAUAAGCCGGUUGUGAAAGCCCCGGGCUCAAACUGGGAACGGCAUCCGGAACUGUCAGGCUAGAGUGCAGGAGAGGAAGGUAGAAUUCCCGGUGUAGCGGUGAAAUGCGUAGAGAUCGGGAGGAAUACCAGUGGCGAAGGCGGCCUUCUGGACUGACACUGACGCUGAGGUGCGAAAGCGUGGGUAGCAAACAGGAUUAGAUACCCUAGUAGUC
rnacentral:rRNA from 1 species